UACGUAGGGUGCAAGCGUUGUCCGGAAUUAUUGGGCGUAAAGAGCUUGUAGGCGGUUUGUCGCGUCUGCUGUGAAAUUUCGGGGCUCAACCCCGAACUUGCAGUGGGUACGGGCAGACUAGAGUGUGGUAGGGGAGACUGGAAUUCCUGGUGUAGCGGUGAAAUGCGCAGAUAUCAGGAGGAACACCGAUGGCGAAGGCAGGUCUCUGGGCCACUACUGACGCUGAGACGCGAAAGCUAGGGGAGCAAACGGG
rnacentral:rRNA from 1 species